UGAGUACGAGCUGCUACGGCAGCGAAGUGGGUGAUGUCAUGCUUCCAAGAAAAGCCCUAUACCCGUUAAGGCAUGAUGGCCUGUACCCGAAACCGACACAGGUGGGGUGGUAGAGAAUACCGAGGGGCGCGAGGUAACUCUCUCUAAGGAACUCGGCAAAAUGGCCCCGUAACUUCGGGAGAAGGGGUGCCACCGCAAGGUGGUCGCAGUGAAGAGGCCCAGGCGACUGUUUACCAAAAACACAGGUCUCCGCUAAGUCGCAAGACGAUGUAUGGGGGCUGACGCCUGCCCAGUGCCGGAAGGUUAAGGAAGCUGGUCAGCGUAAGCGAAGCUAGCGACUGAAGCCCCGGUGAACGGCGGCCGUAACAAUAACGGUCCUAAGGUAGCGAAAUUCCUUGUCGGGUAAGUUCCGACCCGCACGAAAGGCGUAACGAUCUGGGCGCUGUCUCGGAGAGAGGCUCGGCGAAAUAGAAUUGUCUGUGAAGAUGCGGACUACGUGCACCCGGACAGAAAGAUCCUAUGAAGCUUUACUGUAGCUUGGUAUUGUGCUCGGGCUCGGAAUGCGCAAGAUAGGUGGGAGGCUAUGAACCAUUGCUUGUGGGUGAUGGUGAGCCACUGGUGAGAUACCACUCUUUCCGAGCUAGAGUUCUAACAGCCACCCGUUAUCCGGGGGCUGGACAGUAUCAGGUGGGCAGUUUGACGGGGGCGGUCGCCUCCUAAAAGGUAACGGAGGCGCGCAAAGGUUUGCUCAGGCUGGUUGGAAAUCAGCCGACGAGUGUAAAAGCAGAAGCAAGCUUGACUGUGAGACCUACAAGUCGAACAGGGAGGAAACUCGGCUUUAGUGAUCCGACGGUUCUGCGUGGAAGGGCCGUCGCUCAACGGAUAAAAGUUACUCUAGGAUAACAGGCUGAUCUCCCCCAAGAGUUCACAUCGACGGGGAGGUUUGGCACCUCGAUGUCGGCUCAUCGCAACCUGGGGCUGAAGUCGGUCCCAAGGGUUGGGCUGUUCGCCCAUUAAAGCGGUACGCGAGCUGGGUUCAGAACGUCGUGAGACAGUUCGGUCCAUAUCCGGUGCAUGCGCAGGAAUAUUGAGAGGAUUUCUCCCUAGUACGAGAGGACCGGGAGGAACGCACCUCUGGUGUACCAGUUAUCGUGCCAACGGUAAACGCUGGGUAGCCAUGUGCGGAGAGGAUAACCGCUGAAAGCAUCUAAGUGGGAAGCCCACCUCAAGAGGAGUAUUCCCAUGGGGUAACCCAGUAAGGUCACGGGAAGAACACCCGUUGAUAGGCUCUACGUGGAAGCGCAGUAAUGUGUGAAGCGGAGGAGUACUAAUAGACCGAGGGC
rnacentral:rRNA from 1 species